rnacentral:misc_RNA from 1 species
AACCUAGCACACCUGCGGUGUGUACCUGCGGAGGGAUCAUUACCGAGUUAGGGUCUUUCCAGGCCCGACCUCCAACCCCUUGUUUACUUAUACCAUGUUGCUUUGGCAGGCCCGCCUUGAUGGCCGCCGGGGGGUUUCCAUAUCCCUGGUCAGUGUCCGCCAGUAGCCUUUAAAAAUUCUUUUUUAUAACUAUGUCGUCUGAGUAAUACAAAAAUUAAAAAAAAACUUUCAACAACGGAU